AUUGAACGCUGGCGGCAGGCCUAACACAUGCAAGUCGAGCGGAUGAAGAGAGCUUGCUCCUGGAUUCAGCGGCGGACGGGUGAGUAAUGCCUAGGAAUCUGCCUGGUAGUGGGGGCUAACGUCCGGACACGGGCGCUAAUACCGCAUACGUCCUGAGGGAGAAAGUGGGGGAUCUUCGGACCUCACGCUAUCAGAUGAGCCUAGGUCGGAUUAGCUAGUUGGGGGGGUAAAGGCCUACCAAGGCGACGAUCCGUAACUGGUCUGAGAGGAUGAUCAGUCACACUGGAACUGAGACACGGUCCAGACUCCUACGGGAGGCAGCAGUGGGGAAUAUUGGACAAUGGGCGAAAGCCUGAUCCAGCCAUGCCGCGUGUGUGAAGAAGGUCUUCGGAUUGUAAAGCACUUUAAGUUGGGAGGAAGGGCAGUAAGUUAAUACCUUGCUGUUUUGACGGUACCAACAGAAUAAGCACCGGCUAACUUCGUG
rnacentral:rRNA from 1 species